rnacentral:rRNA from 1 species
GAUGAACGCUAGCUACAGGCUUAACACAUGCAAGUCGAGGGGAAACGAUAUUGGAAGCUUGCUUCUGAUAGGCGUCGACCGGCGCACGGGUGAGUAACGCGUAUCCAACCUGCCCAUCACUUGGGGAUAACCUUGUGAAAGUAAGACUAAUACCCAAUGACGUCUCUAGAAGACAUCUGAAAGAGAUUAAAGAUUUAUCGGUGAUGGAUGGGGAUGCGUCUGAUUAGCUUGUUGGCGGGGUAACGGCCCACCAAGGCGACGAUCAGUAGGGGUUCUGAGAGGAAGGUCCCCCANAUUGGAACUGAGACACGGUCCAAAACUCCUACGGGAGCAGCAGUGAGGAAUAUUGGUCAAUGGACGAGAGUCUGAACCAGCCAAGUAGCGUGCAGGAUGACGGCCCUAUGGGUUGUAAAACUGCUUUUACAAGGGAAUAAAAGUGGGAGUCGUGACUCUUUUGCAUGUACCUUAUGAAUAAGCAUCGGCUAACUCCGUGCCAG